rnacentral:rRNA from 1 species
UACAGAGGGUGCAAACGUUGCUCGGAAUCACUGGGCGUAAAGGGCGUGUAGGCGGGAAGGCAAGUCAGAUGUGAAAGCCCCAGGCUCAACCUGGGAACUGCAUUUGAAACUGCUUUUCUUGAGUACCGGAGAGGAAAGUGGAAUACCUGGUGUAGAGGUGAAAUUCGUAGACAUCAGGUGGAACACCAGUGGCGAAGGCGGCUUUCUGGACGGUAACUGACGCUGAGACGCGAAAGCGUGGGGAGCAAAC